ACCAGUACCCCCAUGCUAAAGGAUCUGGUUACUGGCGGACUAAAGAGUGUGUGGGAUCGGCUUGGACAAUCAGAGGAAUCGAAAAUGCCUAGAGGGCCGGCACAAGCGGAGCCAUGGAGUAUGUCGGUGGCAUCACCUCCAUGCUAAAGGAUCUAGUCAUCGGCGAACUAAGUAGUGUGUAGGAUCUGCUCAGAUAGGUGGAGAAAUCGAAAUGCCCAGAGGGCCGGAGUUCACCGAGGAGGAAAUCUCGUUGCCUUAUACCCGUGACCUAUUGGAGACUAGGAGGGUGGGAGAUUCCACAGCCCC
rnacentral:lncRNA from 1 species